rnacentral:rRNA from 1 species
UACGGAGGGUGCAAGCGUUAUCCGGAUUCACUGGGUUUAAAGGGUGCGUAGGCGGCCUACUAAGUCGGACGUGAAAUCCCUCGGCUCAACCGGGGAACUGCGUCCGAUACUGGUGGGCUCGAAUCCGGGAGAGGGAUGUGGAAUUCCAGAUGUAGCGGUGAAAUGCGUAGAUAUCUGGAGGAACACCGGUGGCGAAGGCGGCAUCCUGGACCGGUAUUGACGCUGAUGCGCGAAAGCCAGGGGAGCAAACGGG